CCAAAUGUUCACGUGACUGACUCAGCACAACAAACGCACUUUGUUUACUCUCCGCUGGAAAUCUGACAUCAGAAAACGCUUUUGUAGUGGAUGUAAAGGCGUGUGGAUGUGGAGGAGCGUCAGGUGAAAGAUGUGCAGCAGACACGCGUGUAUCGCCACUACUGCAGAUCCGCUCUCACUGUCAUUCAGCUGCAGAAGAGGAGGAGAGAGAGAGCAAUGACUGAACACAAACACCACAGCAACAUCACUACAAACUUUACAGCAUAGACAAACUCUCAGGACUUGACACACAAGCGCUUCUUCACGCCGAAAGAAAGACACUUGCAGUGCACCUGAUUUGUGGACCACUGGUUCCAGUUCAUCCACUAUGUCCAGCUCUAUUGGAUCAGUGACGUGUUGUGGACUGUAAGCCUGUUGAACAGAAGCAGAGACGUGUGGACAGACACUGACUGUACUGAUGAUGAUCAUCUGCUGCUGCACAGGCUGUAAAGUAUAACCCCUGCUGGACACGGCUCUGGAAG